CCUUUCCAAACUGACCUGUACCACCCUAGUUACAUGCCUGGACCCUUGCAAUACUCUUGGAACUCUCUCUCAUCCAAAACACAUAUUGUGUGUUGAAUUCCAGCCAACUCUAUGCAUGAAUGUGAGAUUGUUCUUCCCAAAGUGCAGCUCUAAUCAGGCACCUGUGUGAAUGAGUGCAGAGAAGACAGGGACUGCGGGGCAGAAAGAGAAUGCCUCCAAGUGGGCUGCCAGCACGUCUGCCUGCCUCUAGCUACAGCAGCACAGAUUUAUUUCAAGACCUGAGCGCCUGCAAGGGGACGACAGAUGCUGUCUGGGGGCCACAGUCUCCUCUGGCCCCAGAAGGCGGAGCUUCACGGCAAAGCUUCAGGAGAGCGCAGACCACGAGAGCAGGAGCACGGAAACGCGACCACGGGCUUUCAUUCGGGCCAGGACUCGCCCAGGGCCCAUCUUGGGUGACGGAGCUGGUUGGGGAGGGAGGUGGCUCUGUGGCUUCUUCUCAUGGUCCUCGACUGUGA
rnacentral:lncRNA from 1 species